UACGUAGGUCCCGAGCGUUGUCCGGAUUUAUUGGGCGUAAAGCGAGCGCAGGUGGUUUAUUAAGUCUGGUGUAAAAGGCAGUGGCUCAACCAUUGUAUGCAUUGGAAACUGGUAGACUUGAGUGCAGGAGAGGAGAAUGGAAUUCCUAGUGUAGCGGUGAAAUGCGUAGAGAUUAGGAAGAACACCAGUGGCGAAGGCGAUUCUCUGGCCUGUAACUGACACUGAGGCUCGAAAGCGUGGGGAGCAAACAGG
rnacentral:rRNA from 1 species